CGCGGCCUAUCAGCUUGUUGGUGGGGUAAUGGCCUACCAAGGCGACGACGGGUAGCCGGCCUGAGAGGGCGACCGGCCACACUGGGACUGAGACACGGCCCAGACUCCUACGGGAGGCAGCAGUGGGGAAUAUUGCACAAUGGGCGAAAGCCUGAUGCAGCGACGCCGCGUGAGGGAUGACGGCCUUCGGGUUGUAAACCUCUUUCAGCAGGGACGAAGCGUAAGUGACGGUACCUGCAGAAGAAGCGCCGGCCGACUACGUGCCAGCAGCCGCGGUAAGACGUAGGGCGCGAGCGUUGUCCGGAUUUAUUGGGCGUAAAGAGCUCGUAGGCGGCUUGUCGCGUCGACUGUGAAAACCCGCAGCUCAACUGCGGGCCUGCAGUCGAUACGGGCAGGCUAGAGUUCGGUAGGGGAGACUGGAAUUCCUGGUGUAGCGGUGGGAUGCGCAGAUAUCAGGAGGAACACCGGUGGCGAAGGCGGGUCUCUGGGCCGAUACUGACGCUGAGGAGCGAAAGCGUGGGGAGCGAACAGGAUUAGAUACCCUGGUAGUCCACGCUGUAAACGUUGGGCGCUAGGUGUGGGGGACCUCUCCGGUUCUCUGUGCCGCAACUAACGCAUUAAGCGCCCCGCCUGGGGAGUACGG
rnacentral:rRNA from 1 species